AGAAUAAGCUGCAAUCUCAUAGUAUGUAUUUUCCGCGUAUCGCGUAACCAAUAGAUUUCGACGUUUAGAAUUUCUGUUGGAACUUCUAAAAGAAUAGAAAGAUGUGAUUGGUUACGCGGUUUUGCGUUACGUGAAAAUACGUGCCAUGGGACUUCAGUCUAAGGGUGGAGUCCUAUGGCACGUAUUUACGCGUAACCGUGUAACCAAUCACAUUUUUCUAUUUUUUUAUAAGUUCCAACAGAAAUACUAAACGUCGCAAUUUAUUGGUUACGCGGUACGCGGAAAAUACAUGCCAUGGGACUUCAGCCUAAGAGCGUUGGAAGAGUACCUAUUAUGAACUUCUUCGGAAUCAAUUCCGAUCGGAAACAUUCGGUUAUUUCCUAGAUUUCUACUGUCUUUUCUAGAGGUAACGGAAUUAUUCCGAUCGGAAUUGAUUCCGAAGAAGUCCAUAAUAGGUACCCUGAUUUGUGGCGUAACUAGCCUUAUCUGUAACCUAGCUUUUCUUACUUAUUCUUAUAUCCAUAAGUACUUUCCAAUAUCCAUUGCCAAUACUCAAAAUCUAUAGUUCAUGUCACGUAUACUAUGGAUUUUCAGUACUGAUAGUGAAUAUCGAGACACAACCUGUAUCCACGCUCUGACAUCCGGAACCAAUUAAAGAUCGAGUUUGUCUCUACGAGAUUCUUUAUGGCUAAGUUCGUCUUGCACGCUUUCAUGUUGAAAAUAUCAUUUUAUCUUUAUCGCUCAUUAUGGACGCGGUCCAACAAUCGCUACAAAUGCUGCGCAGCGUUUCUCCCUCUUGUUCUAUUCCUCGGAUUCGAAUGAAGAAAAAGAAAGAAGUAAAAACACUACAAAGCAUUUGCAGCGUCCGCUGGACCGUAUCCUAUAUACCGAAGGAAAAUAGAAUGAUGCUUUCAGCAUGAGAAAACGUGCAAGAUGAACUUAUAUCGAACAAAAUUGCGCAUCAGCGAUAAAAUAGAUGGCACAUAGAAAAACGUAAAUAGUAAACUUAAGCGAUAAGAAUAAUUGGCCAAUCAUAGUCGAUGAUUCUUCUUACGGUUCAAGAAUAAUCGAUUGUAAUUGGCCAAUUUUCUUAAUUGCUUAAGUUUUAUUGUUCACACUUUUUCGUGUGUUACGGCCCUACGUCGUUACUCGCUGAGCCGCUGCAAGAUGACGCCACAGUGUCGGAUGAUCGUCGCUGCCAUCUGUGACGCCGUGAAGGAAACUAAGCAAAAUCAAGCGCAAACGGUAGACGAAAGGACGAGUGCCGGAAUUUCAGUGUUUCUUUCGAAAAAAGGAACGAUAAAUCCGACGAUACGAGUGCCGGUAGGAAGGUCGUCGUACGCAGGCAGCCACCGGCGACCUGGAUGAUCAGAGGACGCACGGCCGGCGAUGGCGAACUAAAGUUCAAGGAUGCAACCACCACGUCGGACAUGAGAAUGCAAGCGACACCGCGAGGACUGCGACUGUGAGUCCGAAUGGAAGCUCGCGAUCUUGUCUUCGCGGGAAGGCAGCGAGUAUCGAUCGAUCGUAAAUAUCAGCCGAAUUACGUUCACGAUAGCGUUGCAACGACGUUACGGAAGCUCUCGGUCACUCGAGCGUCGCAUUAAAUGUCACGGUCAAGUGUCAUGCUGGAUUCGGACGUGAGUGCUCGGCACACGGGGUAUCACUCACUGACAGACUGGCAGGUGGACAGAUAA